GACGAACGCUGGCGGCGUGCUUAACACAUGCAAGUCGUACGGUAAGGCCCUUUCGGGGGUCCACGAGUGGCGAACGGGUGAGUAACACGUGAGUAACCUGCCCACAACUUUGGGAUAACGCUAGGAAACUGGUGCUAAUACUGGAUAUGUGCUCCUGCUGCAUGGUGGGGGUUGGAAAGCUCCGGCGGUUGUGGAUGGACUCGCGGCCUAUCAGCUUGUUGGUGGGGUAGUGGCCUACCAAGGCGGCGACGGGUAGCCGGCCUGAGAGGGUGACCGGCCACAUUGGGACUGAGAUACGGCCCAGACACCUACGGGAGGCAGCAGUGGGGAAUAUUGCACAAUGGGCGCAAGCCUGAUGCAGCAACGCCGCGGGCGGGAGGACGGCCUUCGGGUUGUAAACCGCUUUCAGCAGGGACGAAGCUUUUUGUGACGGUACCUGCAGAAGAAGCACCGGCUAACUACGUG
rnacentral:rRNA from 1 species